rnacentral:lncRNA from 1 species
GGAAUAUUGAAGUAUGCGUCCUAUUUUUCCUACAUACAUAAAUGAACAUUCAUAAAAGGAUGUUCAUAAUUUAAUGUUAUUUCUUGGAUUUGAAGAAGAAUGGACUAGUGUUACAAACAAACAUUGGCCAAUAAUUGGUGAAGGAUUUCUUGGAUUUGUAUAAUAAUGAACUAGUGUUACAAAAAAUGUCACCAGAUAAUCCCCUUCAUCCUCAAGCAAUAGACUACGAUAUCGAAAAGGAGGAAAAGUAUGAACAUACGGUGGUCGAAAGUAAACAUUUGGUAUAUGAAUUAAAGCUUGGAAUAAUUCUUAUUAUAGGAGGUAUUAUCAUUGUGUUGUGUUUAUUUUAUAUAUUAUCACAGUGCAAACGUAAGCAUAUGCAUUCACCUAGACGACAAAACAACGAUCAGGAAAAAUUGAUUGGUUCAAGAGACGCUUCUGAACAUUUGAUCCAUGUACAUUCAACGGAGAAAGGUAAAGAAUAUUUUCUCUGAUAUCAAAAUACUGCCGACAGUAGUUGUGAGUGUACUUAAUAGUAUUAAUAUCUCUUUGGAUUAAUUAUCACAAGCUUAAUCUAUUCCAUAAAGAUAAACCAUUUUACAAUAUUUAUCAUCCGCUUUAAUGGAUAUAUAGCAUGGAGCCAAAAAUCAAACUUAGCUUAACUCAAAAUAUUAAAUAGGAAUAUUAAGGCAUUGUCUAUACUCUAACAUUAGAUUAGUCAUCUAUAAUGAAACGGUAAGACAUGUCUGCAACUGUUUAAUGUGAAUUACAGAAGUGGCCUUGGACAAUCAACAUUUAUUAUGCAAGUUUUUAAUAUAUUUUCUACUUAAUCAAUGUUUUUAAAAUGGUACAUGUAGACUAUUUUACACUUAUAAUUAAAUAUUAAAGAAUGUUUUUUCUACAUCAUGGGUAGUGAUUAGACGCAUUAUAUCAUUAUUUGUCUCAAUGUCAUUUUGUUUGUGAAAUAAUGUACGAAAAAUAUCGAAGCAUGAGGAUUGGUUGAUUAUUUGUGUUUUACGCAAUUUUGGGAAUAACUCUUGGUGAUAUCAUGGCGGUCAUGUUUUAUAAGGGGAGGAAGCCCAAGUAACCGGA